GUCCCCGUAGUUCAAUGGAUAGAAUAUCAGAUUCCGGUUCUGACGAUGUGGGUUCGACUCCCGCCGGGGACA
rnacentral:tRNA from 1 species